UAACUGAGAGCCUCAUUAGCGUGCA
rnacentral:piRNA from 1 species